rnacentral:rRNA from 1 species
AGUUUGAUCAUGGCUCAGGAUGAACGCUGGCGGCGUGCCUAAUACAUGCAAGUCGAGCGAACAGACGAGGAGCUUGCUCCUUUGACGUUAGCGGCGGACGGGUGAGUAACACGUGGGUAACCUACCUAUAAGACUGGGAUAACUUCGGGAAACCGGAGCUAAUACCGGAUAAUAUUUCGAACCGCAUGGUUCGAUAGUGAAAGAUGGCUCUGCUAUCACUUAUAGAUGGACCUGCGCCGUAUUAGCUAGUUGGUAAGGUAACGGCUUACCAAGGCAACGAUACGUAGCCGACCUGAGAGGGUGAUCGGCCACACUGGAACUGAGACACGGUCCAGACUCUACGGGAGGCAGCAGUAGGGAAUCUUCCGCAAUGGGCGAAAGCUGACGGAGCAACGCCGCGUGAGUGAUGAAGGUCUUCGGAUCGUAAAACUCUGUUAUUAGGGAAGAACAAACGUGUAAGUAACUGUGCACGUCUUGACGGUACCUAAUCAGAAAGCCACGGCUAACUACGUGCCAGCAGCCGCGGUAAUACGUAGGUGGCAAGCGUUAUCCGGAAUUAUUGGGCGUAAAGCGCGCGUAGGCGGUUNNNNAAGUCUGAUGUGAAAGCCCACGGCUNNACCGUGGAGGGUCAUUUAUGGAGGAACACCAGUGGCGAAGGCGACUUUCUGGUCUGUAACUGACGCUGAUGUGCGAAAGCGUGGGGAUCAAACAGGAUUAGAUACCCUGGUAGUCCACGCCGUAAACGAUGAGUGCUAAGUGUUAGGGGGUUUNNGCCCCUUAGUGCUACNNNAACGCAUUAAG